AUGCUUUGCAAGAGCAUCAUCACAUCUAUUAGAAUCUCUUUUGACUAGGAAAAUCGUAUGAUCCUGGAAGGCCUUCAGGGUCUUCUUGGCUUCCUCAUACAUGUUCGAGUGUUUUGAUCUAUCAGGUUCUUGCUAGCGAAGAUUCUUUGCCGCAGCCGAGCAGUCAAGCUCCAGGACAAUUUUUGUGUGCCCUAGGGGAUUCCAGAGCAAGCAGAGCCCCUUUUGCAUCCCAUGAACCUUCUGCAAGUGGCCAAUAAACUGACCCAGUUCAGGCUCCACAGUAAGCUGUAGUUCCCUCCAUCAGGACCCGGUGCUAAUCCCUUGGACCUAUUUCCUCAGCUUGAACAAGUGGGGCUUGAAUCACAACCUGGUUCUAGAGGUUUUCUUUGCGUGCAAGAAGGACGAGCAGCUGGCUGCAAACUAUCUCCUGCACCACAUGAAUGAAUUCGAUGAUCAAGCGGAAGAACCGCUGCAAUAAUUUGUUAGUUAUAGAUGACAAAAGUUACGAGUCCCACGAAAAUGCGAUGAUCAAUCCCAUUUGGAAGUUUGGAGCAGUGGUGUUUCUGAAAGCUGAAUGAAUUGCUCCAUUUUAGUACUCUGGGCUUGAGGAAUACUUUUCUGUUUCUCUCAUUGUUGUUCUCUUAUAUUUUUGAAUUUUAUGCUUAGUAGAUACUCAAGCUGACACUUUGAGACUAUAAGAGGGUCUUAAAGUUAUAGUACUUGUUUUACCUGUA